AUAAUGCUAAAUGUUGGAAGGAAGGUGAGAAAACUGGGACACUAAUGCAUUAUGGGUGGAGUUGUGAAAUAAUCCAACUAUUCUGGAGAGCAAUUUGGAACUAUGCCCAAAGAGCUAUAAAAUUGUGUAUACCCUUUGACCCAACAGGGCCAUUGCUGGAUCAGUAUCCCAUGGAAAUCAUAAAGGAGGGAAAAGGACUCAUGUGUGCAAAAAUGUUUGUAGUAGCUUUUUCUGUGGUAGUAAAGAAUUGGAAAAUGAGUAGAUGCCCAUCAAUGACUGAACUGGACAAGUUGUGGUAUAUGAAGUUAAUUGAAUAUUACUUUUCUAUAAAAAAUAAUGAACAAGCUGAUUUUAGAAAGGCCUAAAAAGAUUUACACAAACUGAUGCUGAGCAAAACAAGUAGAACCAGGAAUAUAUUGUAUAAUAUAUGAUCAACUAUGAAAGACUUGGUUCUUCUCGGUAGUACUUCAGUGAUCCAAAGCAAUCUCAAUAGACUUUGAACAGAAAAUGCCAUCUGCAUCCAGAAAAAGAACUAAGGAAGACUGCACGUAAAUCAACACAUGCUAAAUUCAUUUCUUUUUUCUAUUUUUUUUCUCUCCCCCAUAGUUUUUCCUGUUUGAUUGAAUUUUUCUCUCCCAAUAGGAUUCAUAAAGUAAUGUGUGUUAAAAAAAAAUAAAUUUAUUAGAAAAAAAGUUAAUUCACAGCUUGUAUAGGAAGUACAUAAAGAAACCAAACUUUAUACUUUACUUUAGGAGGUAUGAAUUUCCUCUAUCAACUAGAUCAGCAACACCUCUAAUUGUCUUUAAAAAGUAAAUGAGCCAGCUCUGCAGACACAGUCACUGAGGGAAUUAGUUAUUCCUGAUAGUUGAGAAGAGAGCUAGUUAUUAAGGAAGAACGCUGCUUUUGAAAAUUUCCCUUGUGCCUCUUGGGAGAGGAAAGGGAGAAAUGAAGGGAGAAAGGAGAAGAAAGGGUAUACAAUAAACUGGGUGAAGACCUCUUAUAUAAGGAUGUGACUUCUACCUUUCCUCUGAUAAUGGCUUGAGACUUCAAAGUAACAAGUUGAACUAUAGCUAAAAGCUUCAGGUGUUCAAUUAUCUUAGACUAUUAAACAAUUUCCCUCCUAUCUCUCUCCCUCAUCCCUUUUCAUUAGCAUUUAAGUACCUAAAACAGUAAUGUGUAUUCUGGGAUCCAUAUUUAGUCUCUGGAUAAAUUAGUCUCUCAGCCAAUGGGAGAAAAGAUCAGAGGGUGGAGUAGGAUAGGGAGGCUUCUUAGGGUCUAAAUAAUCUUGUGUUUGCAAUUUACACUUUGCACUCUACUGAUACCUUGUCUGUUGGGAGUUGCCCUUUCUUCCAAGUUCAUAAUAAACCCUUUGAUUUUCUUACUCUGAUAGUGUCUGAUUUUAAUUUGGGUUCAAUGUCCCACACAGUGUGGGUGCUCAUUACAGGAUAAUUCCUGUUCAUGAGGAGUAGCUCCCAUACUGAAUCCUUGGGCAGAUGUCCUUUGGAGAGUUCUCCAGUGGUCCUUGGACUCUGCUGAAGAGCUCCCACUCUGGUUAAACUCCUGAAAAAAGACAGAGAAAGCAAAAAUGGAAGGGUGAGAAGAGAAGAGAUUCUCAGCCAAGAAAUGCAAAGACUGCUGGCUCAGACAAUACCUUUGGAGUUUGCAGUUCCAAGAAACUGGAUACUUGUUUAAGCCUUGGAAAAAGCAGAGUGGGAAGGACCUUACGCAGAUGCUCCAGAUGACUGAACUUACAGUUUGGAGGCAGAGAACACCACACUUAAAGGACCUAUGAAGGAACCUCAAGAAUGGACGGUUAAGGACAAUUUAUAACCUCUAAAAUUGACUUUGCAAUAUUUGGUGGAAAUUUUAGAAAAAAUUUAACAAUAUUGAUGUUGUACCUGUUUUUUAUAUUCCCAGAAAAGUUUAUAGGAACUCCUAGAUUGGAGGAAGUUGAAUUAACAUUUUUUAGGAUGAAGAAUUCUGAUAGGAUUUUUUAAUGUGAAAUUAGGACAUUCUAUACUCUAUGUGAGUUUUAAUUGGUUAUAUUGUCAUUUAAACCUGUUCUCAUUGUUUAGAGAGAUUCUGAGAAGAGCUUUCCCCUUAUGAGAUUGGUUUAUUUCGUUAAUAUCUGAACAUGUUUUGAUAAUAGAUUGGUUUAUUGAGCAUCUUUAAAGUGAUUUGCAUAAUGUUGAAUUUAAAACCCAUCUACUUAGAUAUGAAGAUAAACUGUGAACUUUCUAGAAUACAUUUCUUACUCUUAUCAAUGUAAAAUUAUAGUCAAUACUUAUUUAGGAUAUGUGGUCCCUGAGAGUUAAAUUCACCUGAAGCUUUGAUUAAUGAGACUUGAUAUUUGAGAUAUAAUCUCUUGGGACUGCAGCUGAUACUUGAGUUUUGAAUUCAGGUAUGAUUGUCUACUGGAUCAUCAAACCGGUAAUCCACUAUCUGAAAGGAAUAUGCCACAAGUUACUCAAGAAUGUGUUACAGAUGGAGUUUCAGUUCUUUCUCUGGACAAAUCAGAACCGGAUGGAUUUACAAGCACAGUCUACCAAACAUUUAAAGAACAAUUGAUUCCAAUACUAUAUAAACUACUUGAAAAAAUAGGCAAAGGAUCUUAUGAAAUCCUUUCUAUGACACAAAUAUGGUUUUUAUAUUUAAGCCAAAGACAAUCAAAAUAAAAAACUGGAGAUCAACUUCUCUAAUGAAUAUUAAUUUUAAAAAAUUUUAAUAAAAUAUUAGCAAGGAAACUACAGUAAUACACUACAAAGAUCAACACUAUGACCAAGCUGGAUUUACUCCAGGAAUUUAGAGCUGGUUCAAUAUUAGAGGCAUUAAAAGCAUAACUGGACAUAAUAACAAAACAAAAAAAUCUCAUAAUUAUUACAAUAGAUGCAAGAAAAGUUUUUUACAAAAUGCCAUACCCAUUCCUUUUUUCAAAGAAAAAAAAACAGCACAAGGUAUAGAAAUAAAUGGAGCUUUCUUAAAAAUAAUAUAUAGUAUCUAUUUAAAAACCAACAGCAAGAAUUCUCUAUAAUAAGGAUGUUAGAGGGUUUUCCAAUAAGAUAAGGGAUACAAUAAGUAUAUGAUAUUGGUGUCUUCCAAACUAUGGGAUUUGAUAAUCAUAGAACUAAUUUCUGGAUGAAAAUACUGGCACAAUAAAGAUAUCACAAUUAAUUUCUAUUUUCAAAAUGUUAAGUGAUACAGUUAGAAGAUAAAAAAUAUAAAAUAGAUGUCACAUACAAGAUAAAGUUCUUAUGAAAUUUGCUCAAUUUUUGAGUUAGCUGAAUAUGGCAAGAAGGAUUUAUACAUGCAGAAGAAAGAAUUUUUAUUUCUGGAUUAGUUCCCAGGCUAAUAAAAGUUUCACAUAAAUAUUACAUUCUGCUUCUAGAAACUGAAUUGUUUAAAGAAUGAUUUAACUUCAGUAUCAUAUAUUAUCUAAAUAGGGGCCAGAUAGCAUGGCAGAGUGCUGGAUAUCAAGUCAGGAAGAUUGGAAUUCAAAUCUCUCUUUUGAUACUAUGUUACCACAAGCAAAUCAAGUAGUUUCUCUAAUCUUCAGGCACUUUUCUAAAACUCAUUUAUUAAAUUACAGACAGGCUGCAAUUUUCAUUGGUAGAAAUAGUUCCCUCACUAACAAAAUUAGAUACUUAACCUGUCAUAGGUUAUUUUAUUUUGUUUUUUUUUAUUAUUAAAACUUUUUAGUUUUAAAACAUAUGCAUAGAUAAUUUUCAACAUUCACCCCUGCAAAAUCUUGUGUUUCAAAUUUUUUCCCUCUCUUUCCCCCACUUCCUCCCUCAGAUGGCAAGUAAUCAAUAUAUGUUAAACAUGUGCAAUUCUUUUAUAUAUAUUUCCACAAUUAUCAUUGACACAGCUUGUUUUAAACAGAUUUAAAAUAUAAAUAAAAUAACAAUGAUCUACAAAAGUUAAAGCAUCUCUAUCCUAUAGCAGGGAUUUUUGACCUGAAGUCUGAACUUUGGUUGUAGUUUUUAAAUAUUUUGAUAAUUCUUUCAAUAUAAUUUGUCUCUUUUGCCUAUGUACAUGUAUCAUUUUAUACACAUAAAAGCAUUAUUCUGGAAGGGUAGAAUAGGCAUCACUAGCCUGCCAAAAAGGUUCAUGGCACACAAAAAGAUUACGAACCCCUUAGAUACAAAAUCAUCAAUUCUUCAGAAAUUUCCUUAAAAACAUAUGCUUCUCACCAAUGGUUCUUUUCAUAAUACAAAGAUUAUAAUGGUUUCCAAAGUUCAUCGUGCAUAUAUUUCUAAAUGCAAAAUUUUAUUUCUACCUUACUUUUAAGGAAUUCUAAUAAGAUAACAGGUAUUAUUUUUAGCACAUUAAACAUGAUAUAGAUG